CAGCAGAUGGAAUGUGUGCACGGUGGAGGCAAGCUGCUCCUGACUGGUGCAAGAACUGACUGUGUGUGUACUUUGCUUCUCAGUGCUGUGCACAGACACGUGCAGCAAGAACCAUCUCAGAGGGUCACAAGCCCCCUAGAUUUUACCCACAGAAGAUGGUAGAAAAAAGAACCUGUGAUGAAUGAAGAAAGCUGGGGAAAAUGAGGGAAGGCAGGAGGAACCUGCCAGAAACAGGCCAAGUCCCACCAACAUGGAAAUCAGAUCACAAAUGAUUUAGCUGUAAAACAGCAGAAUCCAGUGCAUUGGAGGGAACCCUGGACAUAUGCUGAACAAUAAGGAGAGCCAGCUGCCCAAUAUCUGCAAGGAGAUUGUUCACAGCCAAUACCGAGGAGAGUACUAAACACUGAGAUAGAUUUUGCUGCUGCUAAGGCAAACUAUUAUAAUCUUGAACUACAAAAAGCGGGGGAGGGUGUGGUCAGACAAGUUCCAGCCCUUCCCCUUCCCCCACCAUGACUCUAGUUCACAAUUUUAAUUCCCAGGAGAAUCACAACUGAAGCAGACUACCCAGCUGAAAAGAGAGACGUGCACCCUCCAUUGUGUCCAAUAGCUGAGGACAUACGGGCAAGCUAACGAGAUGCAAAUCCCAUUCAAUGUGGCUAAUGCCCUUUUUAUCCCUAACCAAAGACCUAGAAAACUCAUUCAAUUUGGUGGUUUUCUAAUAUAGCUUCCACACCAUCGUUGAAUGUGCAACACUAAUUUAAAUAAAUUGCAUGUAGUC
rnacentral:lncRNA from 10 species